UACGUAGGGUGCAAGCGUUGUCCGGAAUUAUUGGGCGUAAAGAGCUCGUAGGCGGUUUGUCACGUCUGCUGUGAAAACUGGAGGCUCAACCUCCAGCUUGCAGUGGGUACGGGCAGACUAGAGUGCGGUAGGGGAGACUGGAAUUCCUGGUGUAGCGGUGAAAUGCGCAGAUAUCAGGAGGAACACCGAUGGCGAAGGCAGGUCUCUGGGCAUUAACUGACGCUGAGGAGCGAAAGCAUGGGGAGCGAACAGG
rnacentral:rRNA from 1 species